CGCCGCGUGGAGGAUGAAGUCCCUUGGGAUGUAAACUCCUUCGAUCGGGACGAUAAUGACGGUACCGGAAGAAGAAGCACCGGCUAACUCUGUGC
rnacentral:rRNA from 1 species